CCUGAGAAACCCAAAAGAUCGAAUGGGGAGAUUCAUCGCCAGCGAUCCAUGGCGCGUGUGCGGUUCGCGAUAGCGAAGACUCCGGUCUUCGGGUACUGCGUCCGUGCUCAUUUGUUUGCCGGGUUUNNNNGUCGUGCACUUCUCCCCUAGUAGGACGUCGCGACCCGUUGGGUGUCGGUCUAUGGCCCGGGUGGGCAGCCUGUCAUGCGUACGACGCUUCACGGCGUUCUGUUGCUUGACAGACCCCCGGUUGUCUGACCAGCUGCCCGGCGGUACUCGCACGGUAUCAAGCCGCAAAUUUGAACUGCGUCUGGCUCGCCGCAAGCAAGGCCAGUGUUUCCCGGUUGUACGGACCUCGUGCCGUCACCGGGCCUGGCCAGCUGUUGGUCGGCGGUGUCCUUUGACUGGCUUUUUUUCAAACGAUACCGGUCGGCGACGCUACUGCUUUGGGUACUUUCAGGACCCGUCUUGAAACACGGA
rnacentral:rRNA from 1 species